rnacentral:lncRNA from 1 species
CAGGGGCCUCACCCAACUCCCACAUAGCCCACAGCCUGAAAAGCUGGUCUUUCUCCCACUGUGGCCCCUCAACAGCACUGAGUUUAUUUCCAGGCAGCCAGUGAGCAAGGCUGAGAACUUGCCCCAGGCUACCGGACUCCCAGCUGAGAAAGCAAGCCGACUCAACAGUUCCUCAGCUGUCCCACAGAGCCUGAAGCAGCAAUCCACCUACUUCAAAGGGUCUAUGGAUUCUCUCAGCUUUCCUGGCAUGUUCCUGUGGUGGAAAAUGCAAUCUGGAGUGUUCCUGGGGAGCUCUGCUGUGUAAACCUUGGCUUUACAGUGAGAAGACGGGCUGAUCACAGAUGUGAACCGUCAGGUAACCAGGGCUGCAGUGAGAGCCACAGAUUUCAUGGGAAGUGGAAGAGGAGAUGGAAAGAGGUAAAUCAGGGAUUUCUUCUUGAUUUGGAUUCAUUGUUG